rnacentral:lncRNA from 7 species
AGCAUGAACAUUGCUCCACCUGGGAGAAGCCUUACCAGACCAGAGAGCAUGGCAAUGGGCUGGGGAAGGACUCCCAAGCUUCUUCUCUUAAGCUUUUAAGACCUUGGUCUGCUUUACGGUGAUUUAAAGGGCAUCUGUGAUUUUACCCACCAAGUGUCUUCUGCUGUGUGAAGCGAAUGCUGCAUGGAGUUUACAAGUGCUUGUCUAUGACAUCUGGAUCUCGGAGCUCACAGGGAAAACCACCCUCACCCACCCUGCAGGAGGAGCACAAUGGCACAAUGGCACCCUCUGUUGCCCUGCGCGCUGCUCCCACGUGGAUGUAUGAACUCCUGAAAGUAUCCAUUCCCCAUCUCCAAAUCUCAUCUCUUCCCGCCGAGCUUCCUUGUUUGUUUGGAGUUAUCCUGUUAUUUCCAUUUGUAAUAAAACCCGUCUUGUUCUUUUUGUGCUGAGUGGAGAAACAUCGAGAGGAUUGUCACGCUCAUUUCAUGAACAGUUGGCCUCCUGUCCCCAUUUUGUCCUCCCUAAGUGGCAGCUCCUUGCAACAGUUGUAUUAACAACUGAGCUCAGCCCUGCAAAGUGGUGGGCAUUUCCAGCGUUAACUGGAAAGCAAUUAGUCUUGAUGAGAUUGGGCUGUCCAACUCUCAGACAAUUAAUUAAAUUACAGCUUGUCUUUCAUUUGGUUAAACAAAAACUUGAUUCAUUAAUUAAAAUACACUGUGAAUCUGAUUUUUUGCUCUGAUCCUCUGUGUGUUCGUAAGCAAACAACAAGUUCCUUUUAGGAACCAAAACAAAAUUCCUUCUGGAGCAUGACAAGUUUUCACUCCUAAUCACCUUGUAUCCAUGUGAACACACUUUAAUUGCUCAUUAACACAAAGUUAGCGGGCUGACACACAACUAGCUGCUUCUUUUGGACUUCUCUAACAGUAACUUUUUUGUGUGUGUCUCGUAAGGAGACCAGACGUUUCUCAGAAUCAAUCAACUUUUUCUGUGUUUUACUUCCAUGCCAUGCUGUAAAGGAUUGUACAGUUGCCUUGCUGUAAUGUUAUUAUUCAGGACUGAUUUUACUGUGAUGGCAUAAGAGGAAUUAGACAUGUCCAUUCUAUUGUUGUUGAUAUGACUGUGCCUAUUUUCCCCAUAUGCAGUCUGAAACAAUUAUCAGAAGCAGUACAUAGAACUCAUCACUUAGAAAUGAUUACUUAGAAGUCAUUAGAUGUUGUUAAUGUGAACAGAUUUUUGUAAAAGCCACGUUUUGUGCAGGACUGGUUAUUUUUAGAUAAAAAUAUUUAAACUGAAGAAGAGAUUUCAAUUUUUCAAAUUGUGAUGUACAGGAACUCAGUGAGAAUUAAAAAUCUGACAUAAGAUCCAGUAUAAAAAAAGUAUUUCAGUGCAUCUAUUUGACAAGCACAAAUGGUCUGUAAGUAUGUUGAAUU